AUUAGAUUAAAAACCAAUGCCCUUCGGGGCUCUCUGGUGAUUCAUGAUAACUUCUCGAAUCGCAUGGCCUUGCGCCGGCGAUGGUUCAUUCAAAUUUCUUCCCUAUCAACUUUCGAUGUUUGGGUAUUGGCCAAACAUGGUUGCAACGGGUAACGGAGGGUUAGGGCUCGACCCCGGAGAAGGAGCCUGAGAAACGGCUACUACAUCCAAGGAAGGCAGCAGGCGCGCAAAUCACCCAAUCCCGACUCGGGGAGGUAGUGACAAUAAAUACUGAUACAGGGUUCUUUCGGAUCUUGUAAUUGGAAUGAGUACAAUUUAAAUCCCUUAACGAGGAACAAUUGGAGGGCAAGUCUGGUGCCAGCAGCCGCGGUAAUUCCAGCUCCAAUAGCGUAUAUUAAAGUUGUUGUGGUUAAAAAGCUCGUAGUUGAACCUUGGGCCUGGCUGGCCGGUCCGCCUCACCGCGUGUACUGGUCCGGCCGGGCCUUUCCCUCUGUGGAACCUAUGCCCUUCACUGGG
rnacentral:rRNA from 1 species